rnacentral:rRNA from 1 species
GACGGGGGAGGCAAGCGUUAUACGGAAUUAUUGGGCGUAAAGGGUACGUAGGCGGCUGGUCAAGUCUGGGGUCAAAGGCCACAGCUCAACUGUGGGAAGGCCCUGGAAACUGACCGGCUAGAGUGAGGUAGGGGUUGCGGGAAUUCCCGGUGUAGCGGUGAAAUGCGUAGAGAUCGGGAAGAACACCUGAGGCGGGAGCGCGCAACUGGGCCUCAACUGACGCUGAGGUACGAAAGCUAGGGGAGCGAAUGGG